UACGGGGGGAGCAAGCGUUGUUCGGAUUUACUGGGCGUAAAGGGCGCGUAGGCGGCCAGCACAAGUCAGUUGUGAAAUCUCCGAGCUUAACUCGGAAAGGUCAACUGAUACUGUGCGGCUAGAGUGCGAAAGGGGCAACUGGAAUUCUUGGUGUAGCGGUGAAAUGCGUAGAUAUCAAGAGGAACACCUGCGGCGAAGGCGGGUUGCUGGGCCGACACUGACGCUGAUGCGCGAAAGCUAGGGGAGCGAACGGG
rnacentral:rRNA from 1 species